ACAGGACAUUUUUAUUAUCCUUGGAUCGUAUGAUUUUCUUUAUAUAAAACUCAAAAGGAUACAUCGAUUUUUUAAAAAUAGUGAGAUAGUUUAGCAAGAUGUCUGACUGUAAGAACUACAUUAAAAAAUCAAUUGCAUGUCUAAACAUCAAUUAAUCCUGGAGACGUAAUGAUAAGUGGGAAAAAAAGCCCCAGAAGUUGAUACACAACACGAUGCCUUUUUUAUACAGCCCCACAUCAGCAAUCUAAGUAUUAAACAAGUAUAUAUACAUUUGAGAUAAAACCCCCCUUUAAUGUUUUAAGUUAUGUACACAAAAAAAUAUUGUUUGUAAAAGCCUCAAACUGGAAACGACUUGCAUAUCCAUCAACAAAUAAAUGGGUGAACAAAGUGUAAUACAUUCAUACAAUAAAAUGGCACCACUCCACAGGAUGAAGAAAUAUCUUAUACUCUUGAUAAUGUGGAUGAAUCUCAAAAAUAUUAUGGAGAACAAUUUUUUAAAAAACUUAGUCACCAGAGGGUAAAUAUUGUAUGAUUCCAUUUAUAUGGAAUUCUAAAAUAGGCAAAACGAAUUUAUGGAGAGAGAACAAAGGACCGAGGUGGCCUCUGACAUGGGAGAGAAGGAUCUUGUGGUGAUUGCUACAAAAUACUUAAGAACAGUUCAAGUCCUAAAAUCUAAUCUUGGGACAUGAAGUAGGUUAGAUAACUCAAAAUCUGGGUUAAUAUAAGCAAUCAUAAAAAGUGAAAUAUACAACUUCUAAACGUCGUAUCAUAACGUAAAACGUGAGUGAGUGUAUGUCCACUUGGGAGCCCUGUGACACAGGGCCAAACCAAGCUUUCUCUGUGUCCUUGGGUCCACUGACGGCCGUUAAGUUGGGUUUUGCAUGGAUCCCCGACGCUGCCAUUGUCUACAUGGAUCCACAAUAGCCAUAUGUCUCCAGUGGACAUGCAGCGUGCCUGGAAACUCCACUCAGCUGCCCCAUACGUGCUUCCCCCAGCCCUCUUCUUAAUUGUGAACACCAGCGCCCUUCCUAGAAGUGCCCUGGAACAGCCGCUUCAGCAUCCCCAGGGAACAUGCUAGAAACACAAACGCUCAGGCCCCACCCCAGACCUGCUGAGUCAGACACUCUAGGGGUGGAGCCCAGUUGUGUAUUUUAAUGAAACCUCCCUGUGUUUCCCUAUGAAUGAAAUUCUCGACCUCCUCUCUGUUCUGAGCACCCCAGGCAGAGCCAGCAUGGUCUCAUGACUUGUUUCUGCAAUAACCUGCCUGAUCUCGCUGCUUCCACGCCAACCCCCCAAGUCCGUUCCCCACCAGAGCCUAGGAUGCUCUCUUACAAGUCGGAUUCCACCACUCCACUGCUCAAACCCCCUUAUGAUGGCUAUCCCACUUGCCUGGGGGAAAGGUCAGACCCUUGAUCUGGGUGUAAUAUCCUCUGUGACCUGGCUGCUGCCAUCUCCCCACACCCUACAUUGUUCCCCAGUCCUCUUGUUCCCCACACUCAGCCACCCUGACCUUCAAUUCCAAAACCUGCCAGGUUCCUUUCCACCUCAGGGCCUUUGCACAAGCUGGUCUCACUGACUGGAAGGCUCUCCCUCAACUCUGUGAGGCAGGAUUCUUCCUGCCAUUCAGAUCACACUGUAAACAACACAGAGCUCUACCUGCUUUCCUAAUCAAAAGUGACUAUACCUGACACAAACUAGCCACUGUGUGCCUGCCUCCCUCACGAGAACCUCUUGGGGCAGGACCAUCAGGGUGCUGCUUGCCAUCUCCGCACCUAGAGCACAGCCCCUAAAUGUGUGCAAACACUGCUACUAAGUGAUGAACAAAUGCUGAGAGGGGAGAUGGGGAAGGGUGGUUUAGAAAGGCUCCCCUGUGUGCCACACCGCGUUCCCUCUUUGGCUCUGCUCAAAAAAAGCCUUCAGUGUAACCGAUGUGUAUUCCCCUUGAAAACCUUGGAAGUCAGAUUUUGAUGUGUCUUUUACAUGUACCCAAACCGAUUUUUAUCCAAGUUACAUUUUAUUUAGAAUUUGUGUCAUCUGGAAAGCUACUGUUCUCCAUAGAUGUUGAAAUACAAACAAGUCCUCCAAGCGCUUAUGAUCUGUACUCUUUCAUUUACCUGCCCAAAGCCCAUGAUUAUAUACAUUCCCAAAAAUGCAUGUAUCCGUCCUCAUAGGUUCCCACACUCUUCCCAACUCCCCUCACCCUCCCUCCUGGCUCUCCCCUGGGGCUCUCCUGCCUUGGUGCAAAUCCUCCACCCAAGCCACCUGUGGUAGGUUGGCGCCUCCUGGGGAACCUGGGUGCCAUCGGGUCGAUUCCCUUCCUAAGGGCUCGGGCACCCGCUGCCCAUAGGCAAUCCCUGAUCUCAGCAAGCCAGCUUUGAUUUCACUGGGCCACCACCCUUCAACUCAGGGCCCCUGCUGCUCCUGUUUGCCCUCUCCUCCCACCCUGUGCCCCGCCUGCCCCUGGCCUUUCCUCCUGGGCCCACCUGCAGCACAGGCCCCACCUCCCCCUGUGCAGCCCGAGCUCCUUGGUGCAGUUCCCACCACGGCAAAGGCCGUCUUCUGGAGAGGGAGCCUGAUUCGUGGCAGCAGCCGUGUCACAGCGACACAGCUCACGUUCGAUGCACCUGACACUGUCCUCAGGCUCUGCCUGCUCUUCCCACUGAUCCCGCUCGAAAGGAAAACACUGUCAUGAUGUUAGAGGAUGGCUGCCCCAGCUCCAGACUCAUGUCCAUAUGCCACGCAGAAAGAUGAAGACAAAGAGAAGGAAGAUGCUCUAUCAUGAAAGCAAAGAAUUUCCAGAAAUCCCUGACAGACCUUCCACAUAACCCAGAGCCAUGUCACCUGGCCACCCCUUAAUGCAAAGGGCUCUGGAAAGUGAAAAUCGUUGUCUGGUGGGAUCAUGGUCCUCACACCACGCUCUGUAUCCAACACGCACAUGAAAGGCUAUACAUGCAGAAUUAAGGGGUCGACACGGCAAGGGAAUGGGCUUUCCAGAACUGCAGGGCCCUGGAGGCAAAGAUGGAGCUCAGGGAAGCCCAGGCACCAGCUCCACUGUCUCUUGGAGGUGACCUUGCUGAAGCUGACUUUGAAGAAACAGGAGAGCCCGCUGACAUCGCUAAGUCGCCUCUUCAACAAAAGCCAUUGAUUCCAAGCAAGCUCUUCCCGAAUAAGCCCAGCGGAUGGAAGCUCAAGGGCACAGCAAAAUUUGUGGACAGCGUUGGUUGGACCCUUCACAAAUCCAUGGGGGUGUCCAGGGCUGUUCCCUGGGGAGGGUGCAUCUGCUUCCACCCUGGGGGGUGGGGCACCUUACUUCCCAUAAGCUUCCAUACCUUUGAUUAAAUAGCCAGAGGAUUGAAUCUCAUUUUAUGAUAAGGGUCAUGUGUGAUCUCUUCCUACUAGAUGUUAAUCGAGCUGAGACACACGUGGCAUCAGACAUGAAACCGGCCCGACUGUGACAGCCACACAGGGGCCUGUGGCCAGGACAGGGACUGACCGGCCCAUGGCAUGAGGCCGGCUUGGCUGGAGGACUUGCACCAGUGAAAGUAUCUGGUUUCCCUGCAAGGCACCUUCAAGCUCAGUGAUUAAGAAAUCUGAGCUGAGGGUAGGGUAGCCCACAGGUUAGGGGAACCCAUAAGCCUAUGAUAUGGGAACAGUUCAGGGGCCCAAAGGGGGUCAAACAGGUAAGGAAGCUCAGGUAUUCUUGCCAAAACAAAACAAAACAAACAACAACAGAGCCUGGCUCCCAUCAAGCCUCUGCACUAACUUUUUUUACCCCAGGAUAGACCUGUCCAGAUUCAGAUGGUGAGGGCUUUGGACCUUAGUUUGAACGAAUCAACGGUAAAAACCCAUUAUCCAAACAAGGGCAUAAAUGUGAACCUAGACUGGGUGCUGAUUGUGGUGGUUUGUACUGUGUCACCUGGGCUGAGCCGGAGCUGGAUUCCCCCAAGUGCCUUUCCUGGGGCAGCUCUGGGUGAGAGGAUGCCCAAGGUGGAAUUCUCACGAGACUUGGGAGGCAAGGCAAACAGCCAUGACUCUCCCAGGAUUGUUAGGACG